AGAUAAUUUGUAAUCCUAACAAAACUGGUUUUUCGGCAGCUCGCGAUUGCGAUAGCACCGAGACUUCGGACGUGGUGCCUAUUGCAGUUGGCAUUGCUUUGGUUGCUUUAAUUAUGAUUGUUUUGGUUUCUUACCUUUGCGCUCGGCGCCGCUCGAAUUCACGUGGCUACAUGAGCUUUUAAAUUUUUAAAUUUAAUGUUUUUCUUUUUUGCUUUUUUUUUUUUUGUAAACUUUGAACGAAACAGAGCAUACGGAGCAUGUAAAAUGUGAAGUUAGGUUACCAGAAGUGUUUUUUGAAUUUGUUUUAAAAGCACUACAGUUAUACUGACUUUGCCUUUGAAGCUUUGUUGUUCUCCGAAGCAAAGAAAGUAAAGAAAGAAAACUUGUGUGAUUAAAAAAAGAAAAAACAAAAAUUUAUUAACACAAUCUCUUAACACAACAAAUCGUACAUCGUCCAUAUUAAACAAACAGCUGUAAUCUUUUUCAAAUUUUCAAAACCAAAAUGUUUUACUUAAGUAUUCGACACAUUGUUAUAAUUGGUAUUUUCCUUUAACAUAAUCUACCUGUC